rnacentral:rRNA from 1 species
ACCGAAAACCUUACCCGGGUUUGACAUGCAGAGGACAGUACCGGAGACGGUAUCUCCCGCAAGGGUCUCUGCACAGGUGCUGCAUGGCUGUCGUCAGCUCGUGCCGUGAGGUGUUGGGUUAAGUCCCGCAACGAGCGCAACCCUUAUCAUUAGUUGCCAACACGUAAAGGUGGGAACUCUAGUGAGACUGCCCGGGUUAACCGGGAGGAAGGUGAGGAUGACGUCAAGUCCGCAUGGCCCUUAUGUCCGGGGCUACACACGUGCUACAAUGGUCGGUACAGAAGGCAGCGAAGCCGCGAGGUGAAGCAAAUCCUAAAAGCCGGCCUCAGUUCAGAUUGUAGUCUGCAACUCGACUACAUGAAGACGGAAUUGCUAGUAAUGGCGAGUCAGCAACAUCGCCGUGAAUACGUUCCCGGGUCUUGUACACACCG